AUACGGAGGAUCCGAGCGUUAUCCGGAUUUAUUGGGUUUAAAGGGUGCGCAGGCGGCCAUUUAAGUCAGCGGUUAAAUCGUGGGGCUCAACCCCAUUCUGCCGUUGAUACUGGGUGGCUUGAUUGCGGUCGAGGUUGGCGGAAUCCGUUGUGUAGCGGGGAAAUGCAUAGAUAUGACGAAGAACACCGAUUGCGUAGGCAGCUGACCAGAUCGCAAAUGACGCUCAUGCACGAAAGUGCGGGGAUCGAACAGGAUUAGAUACCCUGGUAGUCCGCACAGUAAACGAUGAAUACUUGUUUUCGGCGAUAUAAUGUCGGAGGCAAAGCGAAAGCGAUAAGUAUUCCACCUGGGGAGUACGCCGGCAACGGUGAAACUCAAAUGAAUUGGCGGGG
rnacentral:rRNA from 1 species